GCACCAGUGGUCUAGUGGUAGUAUAGUACCCUGUUACGGUGCAGACCCGUGUUCGAUUCCCGGCUGGUGCA
rnacentral:tRNA from 1 species